GGAGGAAAGCAGGGGAUCGUAAGACCUUGCGCUUUUGGAGUGGCCGAUGCCUGAUUAGCUAGUUGGUGGGGUAAGGGCCUACCAAGGCGACGAUCAGUAGUUGGUCUGAGAGGACGACCAGCCACACUGGGACUGAGACACGGCCCAGACUCCUACGGGAGGCAGCAGUGGGGAAUUUUGGACAAUGGGCGAAAGCCUGAUCCAGCAAUGCCGCGUGAGUGAAGAAGGCCUUCGGGUUGUAAAGCUCUUUCAGUCGAGAAGAAAAGGUUGUGACUAAUAAUCACAACUUAUGACGGUACCGACAGAAGAAGCACCGGCUAACUACGUGCCAGCAGCCGCGGUAAUACGUAGGGUGCGAGCGUUAAUCGGAAUUACUGGGCGUAAAGGGUGCGCAGGCGGCUUUGUAAGUCAGAUGUGAAAUCCCCGGGCUUAACCCC
rnacentral:rRNA from 1 species